GACAGAGGGUGCAAACGUUGUUCGGAAUUACUGGGCGUAAAGCGCGUGUAGGCGGCUCGGCAAGUCGGAUGUGAAAUCCCUCGGCUUAACCAAGGAAGUGCAUCCGAAACUGCAGUGCUUGAGUACUAAAGAGGAUCGCGGAAUUCCCGGUGUAGAGGUGAAAUUCGUAGAUAUCGGGAGGAACACCAGUGGCGAAGGCGGCGAUCUGGGUAGAUACUGACGCUGAGGUGCGAAAGCGUGGGGAGCAAACAGG
rnacentral:rRNA from 1 species